UAUUCUUCUUGGCCUUUUGGCUAAGACUGUCAUGUCUGUUCUUGUCUGUUUAGUAUCUGAUAGGUCUUUGCUGUGAGGACUUACUAUUAAAUAGCUUUGGGGAGCUGGGCUGUGGCCUGUAGGUUUGCUUUUCUUCCCCCUGCACCAAAACCCCUCAGUGACCCAUC
ensembl:snRNA U2 U2 spliceosomal RNA